GGCUGAAAUUCGCCUUCAUGAAGCCGGAAUUGCUAGUAAUGGCAGGUCAGCAUACUGCCGUGAAUGCGUUCCCGGGCCUUGUACACACCGCCCGUCACACCAUGAGAGUUGGGAAUACCCGAAGCCUGUGAGCUAACGUUAAGAGGCAGCAGUCGAAGGUAGAAUCAAUGAUUGGGGUGAAGUCGUAACAAGGUACC
rnacentral:rRNA from 1 species